GAUCAUGGCUCAGAACGAACGCUGGCGGCAUGCCUAACACAUGCAAGUCGAACGAGACCUUCGGGUCUAGUGGCGCACGGGUGCGUAACGCGUGGGAAUCUGCCCCUUGGUUCGGAAUAACAGUUAGAAAUGACUGCUAAUACCGGAUGAUGACGAAAGUCCAAAGAUUUAUCGCCGAGGGAUGAGCCCGCGUAGGAUUAGCUAGUUGGUGAGGUAAAGGCUCACCAAGGCGACGAUCCUUAGCUGGUCUGAGAGGAUGAUCAGCCACACUGGGACUGAGACACGGCCCAGACUCCUACGGGAGGCAGCAGUGGGGAAUAUUGGACAAUGGGCGAAAGCCUGAUCCAGCAAUGCCGCGUGAGUGAUGAAGGCCUUAGGGUCGUAAAGCUCUUUACCAGGGAUGAUAAUGACAGUACCUGGAGAAUAAGCUCCGGCUAACUCCGUG
rnacentral:rRNA from 1 species